rnacentral:rRNA from 1 species
UUUAGAGAUAGAGGGUGCUCGAAGAGAGCCGUAACACAGGUGCUGCAUGGCUGUCGUCAGCUCGUGUCGUGAGAUGUUGGGUUAAGUCCCGCAACCGAGCCGCAACCCUUGUCAUUAGUUGCUACAUCCAGUUGGGCACUCUAAUGAGACUGCCGGUGACAAGCCGGAGGAAGGUGGGGAUGACGUCAAGUCCUCAUGGCCCUUAGUAGGUGGGCUACACACGUCAUACAAUGGCUGGUACAAAGGGUUGCCAACCCGCGAGGGGGAGCCAAUCCCAUAAAGCCAGUCGUAGUCCGGAUCGCAGUCUGCAACUCGACUGCGUGAAGUCGGAAUCGCUAGUAAUCGUGAAUCAGAAUGUCACGGUCGAAUACGUUCCCGGGCCUU